CUAAAAAAUUUGUUUGAGCCAAACACAUCUUUCACAGUUGUGCUUCUAAUAGGUGUUCUGGAGAGCUCCGCCAAUUUCAUCGCCGUCACCGCUGAAAAAAUUGGUAGAUCGAAGAAUUUCCGGUGUGCUUCUUCAGUCUCCGUCAUAUCAAUGUUCAUCGGGAGCUUGAGAUUCGCAUAAAUUAGGUAUUUUCGGAUAAUUUGCCCAAUUUUGUUAAAUACUUUUGUUAGAUAGGGAUUGAAAAUGAGAACAAUGGUUGAUUGGUCUGAACUUCAUCCUGAAUUGUUGAUUUUAAUUGCUAAACGUAUAAAUUUGAUCGAGGACUACCUUAAUUUUCGAACGGUUUGCAAACCAUGGUACUCUGUAGCCACUAGGGAUAAUUUUAGUAGUAAUUUGCCUAGGGCUCCCUGGCUAAUGUUAGCUGAGGAAGAGGAUGAUAGAACACAUAGAAAAUUCGUCAGUCUGUACAAUGGGAUGAUUUUGAAGAAGAGGAUUCCCGGAGCGAGUGAGAAGAGAUGUUUCGAGUCGAAAGGAUGGCUUGUUACAGUUGGAAAGGAUGAGGGUGAGAUUAGUUUGUUACAACCCUUCUCUGGUGUUAGAAUUGAAUUGCCACAUCAAAACACAGCUGCUUUUUAUGAACAAAACAGAACUCACGAUCUGUGGACCUAUAUCCAUAAAGCAGUUCUGUCAGCUAAUCCGUCUCAUACGUCGGACUAUGCUCUCAUGGUCGUUGAGGGAAGAUUCGAGAGCCUCAGUUUAUGGAGACCAGGAGAUUCGUUGUGGACCAGGAUUUGGAUCCCCGAGCACAUUGGACAUAUUAGUGAUGUGGUAUAUUUCAGUGGUCACUUUUAUGCCGUCACUUUUGGCCGUUGUGUCCUAGUUUGUGAUGUUGUUGGCACUGAUCUCACUAAAGUUUAUUGUGUAGCACAUCUUGCACCAUGGGCUGACGGUAAGAAUUACAUCCUAGAAUCACUAGGAUCAUUAUUUGUAGUUGCGCAACAGUUUGUUGAUAUACGUUAUGUCAAAGAGGAUCGUGAGAGUAUUCCACCGACGCGCAUCCCAGGUGGAGAUGAGGAGAAGGAUCAGAUUUGCACGUACAGGACAAGAAGAUUUCUAGUUUUCCAAAUCGAGUUUUCUAGCUGCAAGGCUAUACCAGUCAUGGAUUUAGGAGACCAGGCUUUUUUCUUGGGUGCCAAUGCUUCUCUAUCAAUCCAAGCUUCUCAAUUUCCAGGAAUCAAGCCCAACUGUAUUUAUUUUACAGAUAACUGGAUUGGUGCAUACCUCUUCUUUGAAAAAGGAUGCGGUUUGGACAUGGGUGUGUUCAACUUAGCAGAUGGCAGUAUCGAGCCGUUUUAUGAUGGUAUUUCUGUCAGUCGUGUUUGUCCUCCAAUCUGGGUCACGCCAAAUCCAUGACGAGUAUCCGCUGAUCCAUCAAAUCCAGUUACAUCUACUGAUGUUCACAAAAUUUGCAAAUCUUGCCCAGAAGCCCAGGUGAAGCGCAGGUGUAUGACUUAAAGUUGUUUUGGAUGUUCAAGAAUGUAUUAUAAUUUGCAGCUACACAUCUAGUGUUAUAAGUGGCUGGUUGGUCGUGGCUUCCACAGGAUUUGUUGAGGUUAAUUGCUCAUUCUUUUGCUACAUACACUGAUCCAGUCCAGUUCACAUGUGUUUGUAAUUCAUGGGGUCAGUGUUACCUACUAUUUCGAGUAUUCAGGGAGAGUUCAGCCGUGGUUGCUGCUGCCUCGUGACAAUAAUACAAACGCAAAAACUUGAGAAGCAUCUUAAUAGCAUACAUGAAAAAAGAGUAUUCACUACCUUGAGGUCCCAAAGGUCCUUGGUAAGGAGUUCCGCAGUUCGUCCCGCGGAGGGUUAGUUUCUACUUUCUAUUAAAGACACCUACAAUCUGUUUAACCCAAUCACUAGGGGUGAAAUCACCUUUCCACCGAGGUAUAAGUUCUCUGAUGUGAGAAAUAUUGUGCAAAGAAAUUGACACUGAAAAUGCGCUUGAAUCCCAUGAUGUGACUUUAUUCCUUUCGGCGGAUCUGGUCAACGCUCGUCUUUUAUUCAAAGUUGUCCUAUCUUCAAGCAAAGUUAAUCUAUGGUUGUUGCCAUCUAUGGUGGUAAUUAUAACUUCGCCUACUGCAAACUCGGAGAUAAAAGAAGUGGUUAUCCAUUUCCAAAACAGGAUACCACAAUCCAUCUGUUAUCACUGCCAGAAGAAACGCCCUUUAGUGGCAAUUAAUUGAAUAUCGGUAACUUUCCUUUUGUUCUACUAGUAGCAGCAUUUGGAGAUUAGCUGGGAAUAAAGACCUUUUCACUGGUUAUUGAAGAAAAUAGCCACAGAAAGUUGAUACUGAAUGCAAAUUAUUGGAAGUGAAUUUUCCUAAUUUUACCUUCCCUUCCUCUCUUCAUUUUCUCCUUGUAACCUGAAAUCAUAUCUCCCGUUUUCUGAUUUUUCAGGUGUAUCUGCAAUGGUCUCAUUGGGGAUUUCGGAUUCGUGGUGGAUUUUAGAUAUUCUGGAUAGGAAUGAUACGGAAGAGGAAAGACAAGUAAGCUUUUUUGAUGCGGUGGAUGACUCGUCAGCGUUGGCGAAGAAAGCCCACUGAAGCAUAAAUGGUGGAAACAGCAUGACACCUGAUGUUUGAUCAACAAGUGGUACGAAAAACCUUCUCACAGAGAUUCUAUGAAUUUUGGAGAAGAGGAAGACUCUUCUGGUGUGACAUCACACAAAAAAGUUCUCAAGAUGAUUAAUAUCCAAUCAUUGGCAAUGCCUUCUCUGUCACCGGCUUUUUUCACCAGCAUAUGUGUUGUUCUUCGGUGGAUUUGGUAAUAAUUAUGUUGGAGUACUAAUUGGGAGACAAGAAUAUGUAUAUGUGGGAGACUACUUGUUAUUGCUCAUUUGGCAGCAAGUGUCAUUUCUCUUGGAUUUGAAAAUAUUGUUUGUGUUUUCGUGGCUGCUGAUAUGUUGAAGUCUAUUAAUUUUCAAUAGAUAGCAGGGGAUGUAGCUCAAAUGGUAGAGCGCUCGCAUUGCAUGCGAGAGGCACGGGGUUCAAUCCCCCGCAUCUCCAUUCAUUUUUCGUUUGAUCUCUAUCUCCAUGAGGUAGGGGUAAGGUCUGGGUACACUCUAUCUCCCAGAUCCUAAUCAUGGAAUUUCACUGGGUAUGUUGUUGUUAUUAAAUUUCAAUAGAUAAUUUACUUCCUUUUGUUAUAUGGUUUUCUGCUCUCUGAUCUUUUUCAGAAAAUUGCUGAGUUGGCUCACUCACAUGGGUCUCUUGUGCUGGUAGAUAACAGUAUAUGUCCCAUGUACCAUCCCAUCGUUUGGACCUUGGAGCAGAUCUGCAGAUACUUUUAGUUCUGGUAAAUUCUCAAGGUGCUGAUUACCUUUAAUGAUCUGUUAUUAUCAGAUAUUGUGAUGCAUUCAGCAGCUAAGUUUGUAUCUGCCCGUAGUGAUCUGAUGGAGGGUGUAUUUGUUGUCACAAGGGAAAGGGUUUCAUGGAUUAAUUUACGCUUAUCAUAUGAUUUCUCAUCAUCCUUGGUGCCCUUGAGUUGCUUUCAUGGCCAAAAUUAUCAGAUUACCCUGAUUGAACUAAAAAAGAAAAACCACUCUUAUUAAUAAGCUCCUUUACUCCUUUAGUAGAUUCAAUUACCUGAAAUCUCAAUUACUAAAUAUCUGUUGCAUAACUGGUCUAUCGGGAAAUUAUUACCUCAAUGGAACUAUAGAAAUAUCUAAACAGUUGUAGUUUGGAGUGCAAAGUUCAUAUUUACUUAGAAACAGAUAGUGUACGUGCUAAUGUUAAUCUAAAACAUAUUCUUUAUCUUUUUGAAGGUGACAAAUUAUGUAAUCUUCUUGUUAGGUCAUUUCUCUGAAUAGAUUCUAUCACCUGAAGAUUCUCCGGAAUUUUAACCCAACAUAUACAAGCAAGUAAAUUCACAUUUUUUGGUUAAAAUGAUGGUUUUAAGAAGAUAGAAAUGAAAUGCUUAAGUCUAUUAUUUUUUUGGUGUAAGCAAGAGUUGGUAGGGGAAAGCAUAGAGAUGGUCGAUUUUCAAGGAAACUUGUAACUCUGUAUGGCUUUUUGAGGGUGUGCCCACCACCCUGUGGGAUGUAAGUUUCCCAUUCAUCAUCCCUUGGAUGUUGAAUUUUUUGUGAAUACAAAGUUACCCUUAUCUCAAAAAAAAAAGAGUAAAUUCACAUUUUGUCAACGGAUCUGUUUAGAUAUUGUGGUAUCGAGUUAAUGUAAUGCCUCUCUGAAGUUGGGAUGUCACACAUUUGACAUUUGUAAUCUGAGGGUUGUGAAAGUCUAAAUUGCAGUCCUUUGACUAGGCUGAAGCUGCAUAGGAUAAGGUCCCCUUAUGCAGGCAUAACUUACUUUUUCUAAAGACAGUGCCUUCCCCUUUUACCGAUUGUGAAGUUUAAGAUUAGCUCACUUACUCAACCUGAUAUUCUAAUUAUAUAUAUUGACUUAUAAAAAUCAGCUUGACAAAGAACGUGUACCAACUUCAGAAUGCAGAGUGCAGGCUUAGCCCCAUUUGGUUGCUGACUUUGUUUAAGAAGGAUUAUAAUUAUGGUGUCGUGUGUAGAAAAGCAAUAGGUAUUAAAUUUUGCUUGCAUUUUAGUCUUCUGUGUUGUUAUUACUUGCUAGAUCCAUUUUGUUUACUGUAGCUGUGAGAGUGACUUGAUUGUCGAUUCUUUUUGGUUGCACCAUGAACAACGUUUAGCUCUCACGAGGUUGGUUGACAUAAGCUAAUCCUCUCUCAGAGCAAUCCACUAAGCCAUUACCCAAUGUCAUGGUUUUGGUAAGUCGGAAGGAAUUGUCUGGUGGUGCCCGCCAUCUCCUUCCAGAAGGUGUGAUAAUUGUAAUCAUUUUGUAGGGUCUUUGAAUUGAUUAUCUUCCAAAGGUUUGGUGAUCGGGCUAGACCUGGAAACCUCCUUCCAGGUACAUAAUUGGUCGUCUGUGUGUGGCAAUGAAUCACAAGACUAGUUGGAAAUCCUACUCGUCUUGGAGCUUCCAGUAAGACGAGUUGGAAAUCCUACUCAUCUUGUGGUAAUGAAUCACAAGAUGGGUUUGAAUUGAGAAAUUCAACACAGAAAUCUUCAACUGUGGGUGAAGACAAACAAGUACCUUUAUAAAUACAUGACUUUUCUGUUCCAAAAAUAAUUAAAUAUGUGACUUCCUUCUGUUUCAAAAAUAAAUAAAUAUGACUUCCUCUUUUUUUUUUUUAUGAAAAGAAUCCGCAGCCGCUAUCCUUUGGAUACGCACAGGGUUGAACCCCCGUUCCUAUGCAAUAGCUCGCAAACCACAUAAGAGAGGUGAUCUGCACUAGGCAAGCGUGGUGCGACGAGCUCGUCCCAGUAGGCAAACUCUUGCUUUCGCUGGCAAGGGAUUUCGAGCUUGAGAGCUCCAACAUGAAAGUUCCAAGCUCAAACACACUGGGCCAUCCCGAAGGGUGACUUUCUUUUAUACUUUACUAGUUAUUGAGCUUCACUCGUCCUUUAUUAAUUUCUUAAUGUCCGUGUAUCCAAUGACUUCUUAUAAAAUAUCUGCUCCCUAUUUAAGAAUUUUCUUGCCACCUUUUUCUUUUUGCUUGAUUGAAAGCUUGAAUUUGGAGUUCUUGUUUCCCCACAGUUAUACUUUUUACUGGUGAGUGCUUUCCUGACAUCAUAAUAUUCAGAAAGAAUUCUGUCAAAGUUGUAUAAUAUAUGGACAUUGUGUUUCCACAAGAUGGCAGGAAAAUGCACAAAAAAAGUGCUCCUCGAGUGAAGAUGGUUAACUGUGCUGGUUUUCCAGGCCAUCCUGACAGAUAUUUUCACUAUUCGAAGGAUCAGAAUUGAGUUCUCUGACCGGGUCAUGUCACCAAAUACUUCAACAUUUCAGUCAGUCUCGGUGAGUAUACUCUAAUCCUCUUCAUCCAAUAUUAAAGAUCAAAUAUCAUCAAUCUCAUUUCUGGUCCUGAAUUUUGCAUAAAGUGUUAAGUCACUCAUAAAUCUGCUAUGCUUCAUGUCCCAUGCGGGCUAUACCUGUUGCAGUAUGUGAGGCUAGAGAUCUUACUGAGGAUGUAGUUCAAAUAUCUUAAAUGAUUUAUAAAUGACCUAAACACUGCGCUUAGAACUAAGCUAGCAUAGAGUAUAGAUCGUCACCUGCCACACGUCUAAACAAGGAUAAUUGGCUCAAGGUCAUGCAAUGAUAGUUGUCAAGAAUAUCAGCUUGUUAAGGAGAUCAGAAGAUCAAGAAUAUAAAAACCAUCACAUUGUUAAAGAGGAACUUUGGGCUACAACAUGAUGUUUAUAAAUUAGUAGUUGUCUUCAAUUUCACAAUUUGAUAGUUCUAGUAUUAAGUGAGUGAUGUUUUGAGUUUGAUGAUUCUAGUAAGAAUCUUCCAACUGUACGUUCAAACACGUUACGCAUUCAUUAGUUAGAUGUAAACAUUCGGAUAGAUUUUAACCAUAUUUAAAGUGUUUGCAAAUUGCAAGGUUGCUCGAAUACUACUACUAUAUAAGAACAAGAUAUUGGAUGUGGUAUAUAGGAGACCCUAUUAGAUUUGUUAGCACUAAAUAAUUACUAAUUAAAUUUACGUACAUUUUAUUUGUUCAGUUUAGAAAGAAGAAAAAUUUAUCUUUCUUAUAACCUAUAAUCAUUUCCUGAUGCAUUUUCCAAAAUAUUGUAUAUUUUAAAGGUAUAAUGAUACAAUAAAAUUGUCAUUUUAUUUA